AGACAUCUGUGUCUCCACCAAAUUGUCACAUGCAGGAAGGCCCAGAGAUACACAGUUUGAAUUUUCUCUGUAACUUGAUGACCAGUGUAAACAUUGAUUACCUUUGGCAGUCCAAUUGACUUGAAAGCCUCUUCCAAAAGAUCAAUAACAGAGCAGAAUGCAUGUUAUGGAGAAUUCUGAGAGUGAGAGAGAGGGGGAAUGAGUCGUUCAUUCCAUCGGUCCGUCCAUUGCAGGCCGCAGACAAUGGCUGCUUAUGACGAGCGAUGUCAAUAUUGGAGUUACAGGAGAAGUCCCGCUACAUUUUGCUAACUAUCGGUUUGAUGUUACAAUACCAUGGAAUUUGGUGCCCACAAUUUGAUUAAGGAUAAUCAUUUUUCCUUCUGGUCAUAUCAAUCAUCUGAAAACAGUGGAUUAUUUGGUUCUACAUAUUCAGCUGCCUUUAUUUGUUUGUCCUUAUUGACAUAUUUUUUUAUAUUUUAAUUGCUGAAUUUGAGUAACUGCCAAUAGAACAUUUUUUUU
rnacentral:sRNA from 1 species